rnacentral:rRNA from 1 species
CACGUAGGCGGCUCGGCAAAUCAGUCGUGGAAUCCCGUCGCUUACCGGCGGAACGGCGGCUGAAAAUACCGGGCUCGAGGGCGUGAGGGGUCACUGGAACUCCUGGUGAAGCGGUGAAAUGCGUAGAUAUCAGGAGGAACGCCGGAGGCGAAAGCGAGUGACUGGCGCGUUCCUGACGCUGAGGUGCGAAAGCUAGGGGAGCAAACA